rnacentral:lncRNA from 1 species
GACCUGGCCUUUCUCUGCAGCUCCUCUUGGGAAGGCAUUUUCUUCUUUCUGCAAACCGUGCUGCUGUUUGUUUGGAGAAGGAGAGCUGUGGCCAAAAACAAUCCAUUGAUACACUUGGUGACAUUAAUUGAGAAAAAAACAAUAUGGUCUGGCCAUGGAGGCAUGGUAUCCGUAACAUCCCCCAAAGGAGCUAAAGAAGAAAUCCACAAUUUACCAUGAGCAUUUCUCGUCUGAAGAUUGCCAAGCGAUUCCUCCAGGACAUUCCUCAAGGACUCAUGUUCUUAGGCAAAUGCUUUGGGGAAUGUGGCAGUGAUGUAUGUGCUGGGGAAACACAGAGGCAAGCAUGGAUGAAAAUCACUGUGGAAUAUUGAAGAAGGCUUCCAAGAGGAGGUGACAUUUGAGCUUGAUCGUGAACACGAAGUAAGGACAGAACUAGGAGCUCAACUAGAGGAAGAGGCAAAUGGUAUACUAGUGUAGACUGUGUUAAUGUGUAGACAACUGAAAGAAGUGGCAUAUUUGGGAAGCUUUAGGAUGUCCAUGGUGAAAAGUACCUACGAACAAGAGAUCAAUUUCUGUUCAUCCACCUUGUCCUGGGAGGGACAUCAAUGGGUUUCCAUGUCCUUUGGCUUCUGGUUGAGUUCACUCAGUGGAGAACCCUGGCAAGAGGCAGGAAAAGGGGAGGAAGGUAAAAAUGGUGCUACCCUUGGAAAUCCAAGAGCAGCUUCAAGAGUCAACUAUACCAGCAAUCCCUAAAGCUGGAGAAUUUAUGCCCAUGGAAAAGUCUGUAGCGUUUUGCAAACUGUGAGGCUGAGGAAUAGACC